GAGGAAGUAAAAGUCGUAACAAGGUCUCCGUUGGUGAACCAGCGGAGGGAUCAUUAAAGAGUGUAAAAACUCCCAACCCAUGUGAACUUUACCUUCCCCUCGGGCCCCUAAAAAGGCCCGUGGGCGUUUGCUUCGGCCUCCCUCGGGAGGUCGGAGGUACCAAACUUUUAUUUUUACAGUAUCUCUGAGGCCUACUGGCAACUAUAACAACUUUCAACAACGGAUCUCUUGGCUCCAGCAUCGAUGAAGAACGCAGCGAAAUGCGAUAAGUAUUGUGAAUUGCAGAAUCCAGUGAAUCAUCGAAUCUUUGAACGCACAUUGCGCCCGCCGGAAUUCCGGCGGGCAUGCCUGUUCGAGCGUCAUUUCAACCCUCAAAUCCCCGGGAUUUGGUGUUGGGACGUCCGCGUCAGCGGGGGUCCUCAAAUCUAUAGGCGGUACCGCACGGCACUGAACGCAGUAAUCUUUAUUCGUUUGGUCUGUUGGGCGGCUGCUUGCCUCUAAACCCUUUUUUCUAAAGGUUGACCUCGGAUCAGGUAGGAAUACCCGCUGAACUUUAAGCAUAUCAAUACGGGA
rnacentral:rRNA from 1 species